rnacentral:ncRNA from 2 species
ACCCCGGACUCUGGAGAGCAGGCGGAGGAUUCCGCCCACCGAAGGGGCUAGCGGCGCAGGGCAGGGUCCCGCGCUGUAAUCUCUCAGGUACCCGGGACAGAGGGGUUGUG